GAUGAACGCUGGCGGCGUGCCUAAUACAUGCAAGUUGAGCGAACAGAUGAGGAGCUUGCUCCUCUGACGUUAGCGGCGGACGGGUGAGUAACACGUGGAUAACCUACCUAUAAGACUGGGAUAACUUCGGGAAACCGGAGCUAAUACCGGAUAAUAUAUUGAACCGCAUGGUUCAAUAGUGAAAGACGGUUUUGCUGUCACUUAUAGAUGGAUCCGCGCCGCAUUAGCUAGUUGGUAAGGUAACGGCUUACCAAGGCAACGAUGCGUAGCCGACCUGAGAGGGUGAUCGGCCACACUGGAACUGAGACACGGUCCAGACUCCUACGGGAGGCAGCAGUAGGGAAUCUUCCGCAAUGGGCGAAAGCCUGACGGAGCAACGCCGCGUGAGUGAUGAAGGUCUUCGGAUCGUAAAACUCUGUUAUUGGGGAAGAACAAAUGUGUAAGUAACUAUGCACGUCUUGACGGUACCUAAUCAGAAAGCCACGGCUAACUACGUG
rnacentral:rRNA from 1 species